rnacentral:rRNA from 1 species
GACGAACGCUGGCGGCGUGCUUAACACAUGCAAUUCGAACGGAAAGGCCCUGCUUUUGUGGGGUUCUCGUGUGUCUAACGGGUGUGUAACACGUGAGUAUCCCGCCCUUGACUUUGGGAUAACUUCAGGAAACUGGGGCUAAUACCGGAUAGGAGCUCCUGCUUCAUGGUGGGGGCUGGAUAGUUUCGUCGGUUGGGGAUGGACUCGCGGCUUAUCAGCUUGUUGGUGGGGUAGUGGCUUACCAAGGCUUUGACGGGUAGCCGGCCUGAGAGGGUGACCGGCCACAUUGGGACUGAGAUACGGCCCAGACUCCUACGGGAGGCAGCAGUGGGGAAUAUUGCACAAUGGGCGGAAGCCUGAUGCAGCAACGCCGCGUGCGGGAUGACGGCCUUCGGGUUGUAAACCGCUUUCGCCUGUGACGAAGCGUGAGUGACGGUAAUGGGUAAAGAAGCACCGGCUAACUACGUG